GGUUAUAUAGCGCAAUGGUAACGCAUUUAUUUUUGUAACGGGAAAACCUGGGUUCGAUUCCCGGUACAACUU
rfam:Gaeumannomyces graminis var. tritici R3-111a-1 unplaced genomic scaffold supercont2.1, whole genome shotgun sequence.